AGGGGGAGGCCGAAUCCUGGGCUGUGUCAGGCGCCCUGUGCUCCCAGUCUGCGUUGUUGGAUUUACGCUCCCAGGCCGCGCAGCCCCCU
rnacentral:pre_miRNA from 1 species